CAUGGCUGUCAUCAGCUCAUGCCGUACAGUGUUGGGUUAAGUCUCGCAACGAGCGCAACCCUCGUGUUUAGUUUCCAUCUGUCUCGUUCAUACUUUGGAUACCCGUAUAACCAUCGAAGGUUGUUAGAUUAACA
rnacentral:rRNA from 1 species